UACGUAGGGUGCAAGCGUUGUCCGGAAUUAUUGGGCGUAAAGAGCUCGUAGGCGGUUUGUCGCGUCUGCCGUGAAAGUCCGGGGCUCAACUCCGGAUCUGCGGUGGGUACGGGCAGACUAGAGUGAUGUAGGGGAGAUUGGAAUUCCUGGUGUAGCGGUGGAAUGCGCAGAUAUCAGGAGGAACACCGAUGGCGAAGGCAGAUCUCUGGGCCGUAACUGACGCUGAGGAGCGAAAGCAUGGGGAGCGAACAGG
rnacentral:rRNA from 1 species